UACGGGGGGGGGCAAGCGUUGUUCGGAAUUACUGGGCGUAAAGGGCUCGUAGGCGGCCAACUAAGUCGGAUGUGAAAAUCCCCCAGGCUUAACCUGGGAACUGCAUCCGAUACUGGAUGGCUUGAAUUCGGGAGAGGGAUGCAGAAUUCCAGGUGUAGCGGUGAAAUGCGUAGAUAUCUGGAGGAAUACCGGUGGCGAAGGCGGCAUCCUGGACCGACAUUGACGCUGAGGAGCGAAAAGCUAGGGGAGCAAACGGG
rnacentral:rRNA from 1 species